rnacentral:rRNA from 1 species
UAUCAGUAAGGGCGACUGAACAGGGAAGAGCCCAGCGCAGAAGCUCGUGUCCCCCAACCGGGCACGAGCGGUGUUGCGUUCCGGAGGGUCCAGCACGCCGUCCCAUACCGCCUAAGUCAAGCUUGAACGCGGCCACUACCCAUGGAGGGUGACAGGCCCGUAUGGCGGCGCCCGCGAGGGUACAGAUGGGGCGGUCGGAAAGGGCCUCUCUCCGUAGAGUCGGGUUGCUUGAAAAUGCAGCCCAAAGUAGGUGGUAAACUCCAUCUAAGGCUAAAUAUGACCACGAGACCGAUAGCGAACAAGUACCGUGAGGGAAAGUUGAAAAGAACUUUGAAGAGAGAGUUCAAGAGUACGUGAAACCGUCAAGAGCCAAACGGGUGGAGGCUCGAAGGUCGAAUUGAGGGGAUUCAGCUCGUCGUCUGCUUGGCUGGUGGGAGAUGUCACGGCACGACCCUACUGCUCACUUGGGCGUCCCUCCUAACCAAGCUGGCGUCGGCGGGCGUACUUCGCCUCGUAGUAGGUCGCCGCGACCCGUUGAAAUUGGGGACGUCUAAGGCCCGAACGGAUUGGUACCCCGCCGCCUGCCUUUCUCUCUCACGAGAGGGGGUCCGGCGACUGGGGGAAACCCUCGGUGUCCUGGCUGCCCCGCGACGGUCGUUGAGAUGAGCCCUCCCCCCCUCGGUUCCAAAGACCAAAGGGGGAGGUCUCUCGCGGCGUGCAAAAGGUCGGCGCUCCACCCGUCCCGUCUUGAAACACGGGCCAAGGAGUCCAACAUGUGUGCGAGUCAUUGGGCGCACUAAACCCAAAGGCGCAAUGAAAGUGAGACGGCUUGGCGUGACGAAGGAGGGGAGGGCGGUGGUGUUGGGAGGUCAACGCAGCUGCGGUCGGUCGAUUUCGGUCUUCUGCAGUUGCUCGCCUCUUCUUCUUCUUCUUACCCUCCUCCGGAGUCGCGCCGCUGGCCAGGGCCGAUCCCCGACUGGCUGCCUCCAGCUCUUUCCGUCUUUCUCGGCGCGGUCACGCGGGGUGAGUCACUUUCCUCCGCCUCUGCUGCGUCGGGGUUAUCAAAGGCGGGGGUUGGCCGGCGAAGGUCUUUUUAUUCUGUGGAAACCUGCUGAAUGCGACAGGGGGGCGCAGGCCCGGGACUUGCCAGGGACGCCACGCGUUCCCUUAGGCGCGUCUUUUCAGGCGUGCCGAAGGGGGGCGAGUGCGCAGUCGGCAAGUACCAUGAGCAGGCAUGUUGGGACCCGAAAGAUGGUGAACUAUGCCUGGCCAGGAUGAAGCCAGAGGAAACUCUGGUGGAGGUCCGUAGCGAUUCUGACGUGCAAAUCGAUCGUCAGAGCUGGGUAUAGGGGCGAAAGACUAAUCGAACCAUCUAGUAGCUGGUUCCCUCCGAAGUUUCCCUCAGGAUAGCUGGAACUCGCCACCGCAUGAAUUUCAUCCGGUAAAGCGAAUGAUUAGAGGUCUUGGGGACGAAACGUCCUCAACCUAUUCUCAAACUUUAAAUGGGUGAGAUGCCGAGCUUGCUUAAAAGAUGAAGCUUCGGCGACGAAUCGGAUUCCCUAGUGGGCCACUUUGGGUAAGCAGGACUGGCGCUGUGGGAUGAACCAAACGUCGAGUUAAGGGGCCUAAACGAAUGCUCAUUCAGAUCCCAUCGAAAGGUGUUGGUUGCUAUAGACAGCAGGACGGUGGCCAUGGAAGUUGGAAUCCGCUAAGGAGUGUGUAACAACUCACCUGCCGAAGCAACUAGCCCUUAAAAUGGUAUGGCGCUCAAGCAUUCUCCCGAUACUCGACCGCCGGGGCACUACCGACCGCCGAGCGGACUACCUUGUCCGUUUYAGGUCUCGAAGCCCCGGCGAGUAGGAGGGUCGCGGUGGUGUGCGCUGAAGGGUUCGGCGUAAGCCGGCCUGGAGCCUCCACCGGUGCAGAUCUUGGUGGUAGUAGCAAAUAAUCGAGAGAGACUCCCUUGAAGGCCGAAGUGGAGAAGGGUUCCAUGUGAACAUCAGUUGGACAUGGGUUAGUCGCUCCUAAGCCCAAGGCGAAAGCCUGAUCCCCA